rnacentral:rRNA from 1 species
UCUUCCCUCUGGCGGCGUGCCUAAUACAUGCAAGUCGAGCGAACGGACGAGAAGCUUGCUUUUCUGAUGUUAGCGGCGGACGGGUGAGUAACACGUGGAUAACCUACCUAUAAGACUGGGAUAACUUCGGGAAACCGGAGCUAAUACCGGAUAAUAUUUUGAACCGCAUGGUUCAAAAGUGAAAGACGGUCUUGCUGUCACUUAUAGAUGGAUCCGCGCUGCAUUAGCUAGUUGGUAAGGUAACGGCUUACCAAGGCAACGAUGCAUAGCCGACCUGAGAGGGUGAUCGGCCACACUGGAACUGCGCCACGGUCCAGACUCCUACGGGAGGCAGCAGUAGGGAAUCUUCCGCAAUGGGCGAAAGCCUGACGGAGCAACGCCGCGUGAGUGAGGAAGGUCUUCGGAUCGUAAAACUCUGUUAUUAGGGAAGAACAUAUGUGUAAGUAACUGUGCACAUCUUGACGGUACCUAAUCAGAAAGCCACGGCUAAGUACGUG